GAUGAACGCUGGCGGCGUGCCUAACACAUGCAAGUCGAGCGAUUUACUUCGGUAAAGAGCGGCGGACGGGUGAGUAACGCGUGGGUAACCUGCCCUGUACACACGGAUAACAUACCGAAAGGUAUGCUAAUACGAGAUAAUAUACUUUUAUCGCAUGGUAGAAGUAUCAAAGCUUUUGCGGUACAGGAUGGACCCGCGUCUGAUUAGCUAGUUGGUAAGGUAACGGCUUACCAAGGCGACGAUCAGUAGCCGACCUGAGAGGGUGAUCGGCCACAUUGGAACUGAGAAACGGUCCAAACUCCUACGGGAGGCAGCAGUGGGGAAUAUUGCACAAUGGGCGAAAGCCUGAUGCAGCAACGCCGCGUGAGCGAUGAAGGCCUUCGGUCGUAAAGCUCUGUCUCAGGAGAUAAUGACGGUACUUGAGGAGGAAGCCCCGGCUAACUACGUG
rnacentral:rRNA from 1 species